CUGCACGGUUACUAUGUACAGAGCAGUGGAUUUUACUCAUCUGCCCAUAAGCAAUAUGUCAAGCCAGUAGAAAGUGCCUGGAUGGUGAUUGCUCUCAAACGUCUCUGUUCCAAUUACAGUUUUCUCAUAACGGAAAUUAAAGACUUGAUUGGAUGCAGUACCUCAGGGUUCUUAGAUUGUUACAUUCAACUGUUGAAAACAACAAAAAGUGCUCUGUAUGAAAAUCAGUUAAUUUCUUUCAGUAAAACAUAACAUGAACUUGGAAUUCACAGUUAUAAAUUAUUUAUAUGCAGAUCCAAAGUACUCUGAGUACUCCAUACAGUAUGAUAUUGCCAGGACCUAUGCAAAGUGUGAGAAUUAUCUGUCUGCAUCAGAAGAGUACAUGUCAUUGCUUGGAAGUAUCUUCUCAAAAGAUUGUAAUGCCAGUGGUUUCUCACAAAAGCAAGAUGUUUUUACAAAUAUUCGUUUAAUCAUCCAUGAUGCAGUAUUAGUGCAUCUGAAGAGUUCACAGCUGGAGACUGCCUACUUACUAUGCAAACUAUGUACAGAUCAGAAAUUAAUGCCUGCCACAACAGUUAGAGUCUGCAGAAGAUUUCAUACGAGGAAUGAAAGAUGACGUCAUUGCAAUGAUGCUGACAGCAGAAGUCUACAUGGAGAUGGGGGAAAUUACUGAAGCCAAAGACAUCUUGAUGAGGUCCAUGGAGGUACUAGUUGGCUGUAUACUGAACACAAUGAGUAGUAGUGACACAGAAUGUGAUACUCAUAUACUAAAAGUGCGUCAACUACUUCGUGGAUUAUUGGCAAAANNNNNNNNNNUUAUUUUUAAAAUUUUUUUUAAUGAAAAAAAAAUAAUUUAAUGGCAGAAGCUUCCAGCUUUCUACAGAGAUCAGUGGAACUAAAUCCAGGUAUUGUUAUACAAA
rnacentral:lncRNA from 1 species